GUUGAAGAGAAAAUGGUGUUUUCUGUUUUAGGGAUGGGGGGAGAUAACUUUCACAUGGUAACUGUUCCUGGAACAGCAGGAAUCAAAUAUGAAGAUUAUUACAUGCCAAACAAAGGAAGCAUUCUGGACAAAUUUUGCAUAAUAUGAGAAGAAUGACCAAAGCACUAGUGCUGAGAAAGCAUUGAACAUGACCAAAAGUGGAAGAUCUUGGAACUACUCAUGUCAUAGAUAUGAGCAAUGCAAGAUCCCCAAAGGCAAAUCUAUAAAAUGUUUUGGGAAAUAAAAAAUUAAUUUGUUAUUGUUA